CAGCUGUAGUUCAAAGGAAUGCGUCGAGGCAUCCUUGCCAAAUCUCCACUUCACCAAUCAACAUGACCAUCUUACUACAGACCCUCUGAUGGACUUGCGGUGUGUCCAGGGUGUCCAGCUCCCUUGACGACCCUCAUCUGGAGGACCAAACUGAAUGGAUGGAUUGCUUUGAACGGGGCACAAGGCAGAGUCGACCCAGGUUGUCUGUCUCUGUUUUUUGGCCCUGCGAGAGACUGGCCAGGGAGUACCUUCUGGGAUUGGCUGCAGUGAACCGUGACCCUCAUGUGGAUGAUAAAGCAGUGGACAAAGGAUGGAUGGGAGGAUCACUUUGACCUCCAUGUAGCGUAGCGUGACCUCUGCUCUCUCCUGGAAAACAUCUUCUUCAGGUGGACGGUGCUGGUGGACUUAACACAGGAGAUGCUGGUGUCUGCCAUUUUCAUCUGUCCACACUCUCUGUGUUCUCCAAGGGUAAAAUAAAAGCUGCCAGGGAAAUUGCUCACUGAGCCAGUUUCCUCUGUGAGCUGCGUCAUGGCUCUCAGCAGCAUCUCAAAUCCCCCUGUGACUCAAGGACACCAUCUGGUGGUGGAAGAGCAGAACUGCCAUUAAGAUUUUAAUCAAUUUUUUUUUGUCUGUGAUCUAUCUCGGGCAUCUGCAAAAGACACGCCUUUCCUGGAAGCACUUUCCUUUGAUACCCAAAUGAAACUUUUGUGCUUCACAAGCAGUUUGAUCUCUCAUGAUGCUGUGUGUGUGUGGACUAAUAAACUGUGAAGCGGAUGAAACAGAAGAUCAGACUGUCUUUAAAAAUCCUCACUAACUUUGCUCCUAAUCUCCCCCCUCAGAUAAUUCUCA